ensembl:processed_transcript
GUAGGUACUCCAUUGUCUGACGGAUCUGAGAACGCUGUCUGGGCUUCGUGCCAAGGGCUGGUAUUCACACAGCAACGACGGCCUCACAGAAGAGCUGUGGGAAGCAGGAGGGCGAGCCUCUCUUAGGGUGCCACUACUAUGGAGACACAGCUGGGCUGAACAAGAUUUGCUUCAAACGACAACAAGAGAGACAGAAAGUAUCUGAUUCAACCGCUGCCCAAGCAGGCAGGCACCAGAAGAGCUAGCAGCCAAUCCGGCCAUGCUCGAAGCCAGUCCUGCAGCUCAGCCAAUCAGUGACAUCAUUGGACAUCUCUUCAGAUUGCUCAUCAUGAUAUGAAGAUGAAACUUAAUAGCAAUAACCAAUGGAUGCUUUUCUUGGAUUCAGUCCAACACUCUGGAGACCAGAUCUUCAGGAAUGUAACUGGGAUAAUUGUCCAAAUCGAAUCCCAUGCCCUGUCAUGGUGAGUAGAACCAUCUAAGAUGCUAUUUUUUUCGUGUUUAUCUGUAAUUUUUUUUCAUUGGUAAUCUCAGUUUUCUGGUGAUUGGUAUAGGAAAUUCAAAGAACUGAUUUCCAUGUUUUAAUUCUCUUUGUGAUGGAAAGGUGAAUAUUUGGCUAGGAAUGCAGCUCAGUGGCUACUGUGACUGACUGGCAUCCGUGAGGCCCUGACUCUGCCUAGCGCCACAUACACCUGGUGUAUGGCAGGCUGGUAUAGUGAAAUUCUAGCAUGGGGCGUUUGAGGCAGGAGCAUCAUAAGCUCAAGGUCAUCAGUUGUUACUGGAUAAGGUACCAAGAAGGAUAUUGUACGGUAGGAUCAUUAAUUAUCCCGAAUUGCAAACAUGCCAUGCCUAAGCUGGUGAAACGCUUGUCAGGUUUCUCUGAACUCCGGCCAAUGUAAAAUGCCUGAAAAUCAAUUCACUUGUUACUAUCAGACUCAUUUCACAAACAGUGUGGGAAGGAUUCAUCGUCCAUGUGUAUGUCUAUACAUGUACAUAUAUAUACAUAUGCACUGUAGCCAAGACUGGAGAUCUUGUUCAUUGUUUGAACUUGACUGAUGGUUAGUUGUUCUUGGUUUUCUUUAAUGUGUUCACACACACACACACACACACACACACACACAUCAAACUGUUUUGGCUAAUUUUCUUAAAACCCCUUCCCUUGAGAUCCUUUGAAGGCUACUACUUUGACCCUGAAGGUUCAGAAAAAGUAAUGAGGUUUUUUGUUUGUUUGAUUGGUUUUUUUUUUUCUGUAUCAAUAGUUAUUAGAGAAACACAAAUUUAAAACAAAGUGGCAAUAGGCAUAGUCACCUCUGGUGACAAAAAUAAAAGUUCAUACAAUAGUUACUAAGGACCUGUGGAAGUAAACUCAUAAACAUGGCUGGUACAAUGCUAACGUGAUGUAGCCACUGAAGAAAACAGCCUAAUAGCUUCUCAUAAGUUUAUAUGACUGAGUAAUUCCCAACUAGGCACAAGACAAGAAAUAGAAACUUAACAUCUGAGUUUCUUUUUCUGUCUUUGGGAUAAAAUGCUCAUCAAGAGGCAACUUCGGGAAGAAGGGGCUUAUUUAGAUUCUGUUCUGAGAGGAUGCAGUCCAUCCUGAUGGGAAAGGCUCGAACGCCAAGCGGCAGGCAGCUAGAGAUGGAUUCUGGUGCUCAGCUAGCUAGUUUUCCCUUUUUUAUUCGGCCCAGCAGUUAUAAUGGAUAGUUUUAAAUAAAUAUGCUUCAUUGACUAUGUCUAAUUCUGUAUAACUUAGUUGAAGUUAAUGUAACAAAGAAAAACAUUGACCCUGUGUAUUAGAAAAUGGAGUGAUGCCAGGGUUAGUGGCACACACCUUUAAUCCCGGCACUUGGGAGGCAGAGACAGGCAGAUCUCUGUUAGUUCAAGGUCAGUCUGGUCUACAGAAAAAGUUUCAGGACAGCCAGAACUACACAGAAAUACCAAGUCUUGAAAAAUAUUAAAUAGCAUUAAAUUACUUAUAUGUAUUUGUGGGGUUUGUGUAAAGUCCAUUAAAACAAUGUUCAUAGGAGUAAUUAACUCUUCUCACCUGACAUCACAUAUAAAUACUACUGUGGGUUUUUCUGUUAUUUUGUGUCCCUAGAUGGAAAGCCUCCUUAUCUAUAAAUAAGAAUUUUAGGUGCCUUCUGUCUUUUUGUUUUUGUUUUUGUUUUUGGGUUUUUUUGGGUUUUUUUGUUUUUUUGCUAUAACAUAAGAUUUUUCAGUUCAUUGUUUAAUGGCACAGUGGUAGCUUACAGAUGAACACGAAAUGACUAAACAAUAUUUGGGUUUUCCAGGUUUUAUUUAGACUGAAUGACUUUCAAAAUUGUCAUUUAAGUAUGACAUUGACUAUUUAAUGUAUUUUUAAAUCACUGGAAUGUUAUCCAAUGACACAUAAGCUAAACUAGAUUUUAUAAAAUUUCCCCCAAUCUUAUUUAUAUAUUUAUAAUAUACGAAGAAAAAUUUCAAUCUGGUAAUUUUGUUUUCUUCUUAGCCAAUUCUUUGCUCAUGUGCCACUUUUGCAUAGUUAGAUAGCGUACUAAUCUUUGAGCAUGCAUUAUUUUUUUAAAUUAAGUAUUUUCUUCACUUACAUUUCCAAUGCUAUCCCAAAAGUCCCCCCAUACCCCCCAACUCCCAUACCCACCCCNNNNNNNNNNNNNNNNNNNNNNNNNNNNNNNNNNNNNNNNNNNNNNNNNNNNNNNNNNNNNNNNNNNNNNNNNNNNNNACCCCCCCCCCCCCAGCUCCUUGGGUACUUUCUCUAGGUUCUCCAUUGGGGACCCUGUGAUCCAUCCAAUAGCUGACUGUGAGCAUCCACUUCUGUGUUUGCCAGGCCCCCAUUAUUAACAACUUAAUAUGUGUUUGAACUCUCAUGAUAGGUUAUAUGAGUGAUUUCUUUCCUUCCACCACAUUCUUUUUGGAAAGUUAACCAACAUAUUCAGAGUUGGCCACAGGUGCCUUUACCUGAUGAGCCAGUUCAUUUUCUUAUUAUAGAGUUUAUUCUAACUUGCUUUUAUUUGUUAAGAAUUUUGAAAGCAUUGAAAAAUCAUGACAGCAUUUCUUACUAGCCUUCUCCCUGGCAGUGAGAGUGUACAUUGCAAACAGCCCUGGAAUUUGAAGUUUUGGAAAAGAAGCAGAGUAAAGUAGUCAAGCCACAGACUCUAUUUUAUAAGCAAUAUAUUGAAAGUUAAAAUAGCUGAAUACGUUGCUGCAUGCCUUUAAUCUCAGCACUCAGAAGGCAGACCCAUAGAGUCUCUGAGUUUGAGGCCAGUCUAACUUACAGAGCAAGUCUCAAGACACCAAGGGCAACACAGAAACUCUUUCU